rnacentral:rRNA from 1 species
UACGUAGGGGCAAGCGUUGUCCGGAUUCAUUGGGCGUAAAGCGCGUGUAGGCGGCCAGGUAGGUCUGGUGUGAAAACUCGAGGCUCAACCUCGAGAGGUCAUCGGAAACCAUCUGGCUAGAGUCCGGAAGAGGAGAGUGGAAUUCCCGGUGUAGCGGUGAAAUGCGCAGAUAUCGGGAGGAACACCAAUGGCGAAGGCAGCUCGCUGGGACGGUACUGACGCUGAGACGCGAAAGCGUGGGAGCA